rnacentral:rRNA from 1 species
GAUGAACGCUGGCGGCGUGCCUAACACAUGCAAGUCGAACGGAGAUUACGGACGGAAGUUUUCGGAUGGAAGCCUGUAAUUCUUAGUGGCGGACGGGUGAGUAACGCGUGGGCAACCUGCCCUAUACAGGGGGAUAGCAGCUGGAAACGGCUGGUAAGACCGCAUAAGUCGGUUAAAUCGCAUGAUUUGAUCGGGAAAUGAGCAAUCAGGUAUAGGAUGGGCCCGCGUCCGAUUAGCCAGUUGGCAGGGUAAAAGCCUACCAAAGCGACGAUCGGUAGCCGGACUGAGAGGUCGGACGGUCACAUUGGGACUGAGACACGGCCCAAACUCCUACGGGAGGCAGCAGUGGGGGAUAUUGCACAAUGGAGGAAACUCUGAUGCAGCGACGCCGCGUGAGUGAAGAAGUAUUUCGGUAUGUAAAGCUCUAUCAGCAGGGAAGAUGAUGACGGUACCUGACUAAGAAGCCCCGGCUAACUACGUG